rnacentral:rRNA from 1 species
AUAUCAAUAAGCGGAGGAAAAGAAACCAACAGGGAUUGCCCUAGUAACGGCGAGUGAAGCGGCAACAGCUCAAAUUUGAAAUCUGGCCUCAGGCCCGAGUUGUAAUUUGCAGAGGAUGCUUCGGGCGCAGCACCGUCCAAGUCCCCUAGAACGGGGCGCCAGAGAGGGUGAGAGCCCCGUAUUGACGGACGCCAAGCCUAUGUGAAGCUCCUUCGACGAGUCGAGUAGUUUGGGAAUGCUGCUCAAAAUGGGAGGUAGACCCCUUCUAAAGCUAAAUACCGGCCAGAGACCGAUAGCGCACAAGUAGAGUGAUCGAAAGAUGAAAAGCACUUUGAAAAGAGGGUUAAAUAGUACGUGAAAUUGUUGAAAGGGAAGCGCUUGUGACCAGACUUGCGCCGAGGUGAUCAUCUGGCGUUUUUCGCUAGUGCACUCGCCCCGGCUCAGGCCAGCGUCGGUUCACGCGGGGGGAUAAUGGCGCUGGGAACGUAGCUCCCCCGGGAGUGUUAUAUCCCAGCGUGUCAUGCCCUCGUGUGGACCGAGGUUCGCGCUCUGCAAGGACGCUGGCGUAAUGGUUACUAGCGACCCGUCUUGAAACACGGACCAAGGAGUCGAGGUUCUGCGCGAGUGUUUGGGUGUCAAACCCGCACGCGUAAUGAAAGUGAACGCAGGUGGGAGCUUCGGCGCACCACCGACCGAUCCUGAUGUUCUCGGAUGGAUUUGAGUAGGAGCGUAGGGCCUCGGACCCGAAAGAUGGUGAACUAUGCUUGGAUAGGGUGAAGUCAGAGGAAACUCUGAUGGAGGCUCGCAGCGGUUCUGACGUGCAAAUCGAUCGUCAAAUCUAAGCAUGGGGGCGAAAGACUAAUCGAACCAUCUAGUAGCUGGUUACCGC